rnacentral:rRNA from 1 species
AAUAUGGCACAAUGGAGGAAACUCUGAUGCAGCGACGCCGCGUGAAUGACGAAGGCCUUCGGGACGUCCCAUUCUGUCCUUGGGGACGAUAAUGACGGUACCCAAGGAGGAAGCCCCGGCUAACUACGUGCCAGCAGCCGCGGUAAUACGUAGGGGGCAAGCGUUGUCCGGAAUUAUUGGGCGUAAAGGGCUCGCAGGCGGCUUCUUAAGACUGAUGUGAAAUAUUGCGGCUCAACCGCAAGAGGUCAUUGGAAGCUGGGAGGCUUGAGUAUAGGAGAGGAAAGUGGAAUUCCACGUGUAGCGGUGAAAUGCGUAGAGAUGUGGAGGAACACCAGUGGCGAAGGCGACCACCUGGGCUAAUACUGACACUGAGGUGCGAAAGCGUGGGGAGCAAACA